UGUCCCACUCGUGAGCACUCCCAGUGCCGCCAUUGCUAACUAGCAUUUCUAUGGCUUUAAUGGUUAUAAUGCCUUCUAUCUUCUAUUUCACUUUCAAAGAGCGAGGAAUGAAAAUUGAAUUCAAGGCUGCAACUGGAUAUAGGUGAAGGGUAAAAAUUUAUCUGUCAAACUGAUGACUCGAUCCGAGGGUCACGUCAUGAAGCUAACGAAGCGACGUUAUAUCGUCGGACUUAAAAGUUUAUUUGAAUAUAAACUACUUUUAAGCGUACAGGUUGAUCUACCUACAAGAAAGAUACGUUUACAGUAGAAUUUUCAAAAUUUUAGUGGGUUUUCAGCUGGAUUAAGGAUGCAGUUCUCUCUAAACAGUCAAGAAUUAACUAUUUACUUAUAAUUAAUAUUCAUAUCUCCCUUUUAUGGAGAAAUAUGCUGAUUAGUUUCGAGCGGAAUACGCUGCUUGGCUCAUCGAUUCCGAAUAUGCUGUGGCUCAGAACGCUUUUCAUGUCGCAAUAACGAGACUUUUCGGCGUUUCUCAAUGGUAAUUGAUGCGUUAUUAUCUGGAUUUAGAGCAAAAAUUCAUACAGGUCUUUGCCUUUUCUUUCCAGAAGCCGAUGGACUCUUGAUGACUUAGUUUUGUGACCCUUUGUUUUUGAUCGCUUGUCCUCAUCCAGGUCCUCAAUAGCAGUGGUGCCUUUGUUAUGACUAACGGUGAUUAAAUCCUUUUGUUUAGUGCUAUUAUUUUUCUUCUCCGGUUUCUCUUUGCGAAGUUGUCGCUUUUCACGAUGCCGACCCACCAGUGGCUUUCUUGCGUUGGGUCGAUACUUGAAGGUGAAACCAAGAAAUUGUCUUUGAUUACCGUUCAUAACUCCAUUGCUUUUUGCUUUUUGCUCUGCCUUCCUUUGCUUUUCGUACACAUCUUUGUACGCAUCUAGUACCUGUUCGUCAUUGAAAUCAUCAAAAUAGGAAGUAUCAAGUUGAUUCUCCAAGCGGGGAACAAAUGGUGGCACAGCUCUUUUCCGCAAACCGUUCCAAUGGAGUCUCUUAAAAAAUGGAUGCUUUUGGAUUUCGAUUGUGCUUUGAAAUCUUGACGUUGGUUCUGUUAGACACUUGGUGAUGAAAGACCAUGCCUCGUCUGAAACCGAUCUCGCUUUUUUGUCGUAAAUUCCAUUUUCAUUUUUGGAGGGUCUCUGCAACAUUUCUCGCCAGUAGUAUAGAUUAGUCCACGUUUCUUGGAGCGUUGACCCAGAAAAGGGAGGAUAUCCUACCAGACAUUCAUAACAUAUGCAGCCAAGUGACCAGUAGUCUACGGUCCUAUCGUAUUUCUUUCCGUAAACAACUUCUGGAGCCAUGUAUUCAGGAGAUCCAACAACGGAAUUUACCUAAUUUUUUUUUAGUUUACGUUUGAAUCAAAAUGUCUUUACCUUGUUCUCAUUCUUUUCCAAAAGCGCUUUAUAAAUGUUUCUUCUUUGCUUUUGUGUUAAAUAAGGUCUCUGAGGAUUAACCGCGCUCACUAGUGCAUGUUGAAGUCGAUUUACCUGAUUCGAUGUAACAAUUGCAGUACUUAGCCCAAAGUCACUAAGCUUGAUAUGUCCCUUUUGAUCAAUUAAAAAGUUCUCGGGCUUUAAAUCACGAUGCAUAUAACCUAGUUUGUGGACUGCACUGAUUGCAGCGACCAUUUCUGCUAGGUAAAAUCGGGUUUGAUUUUCAUGCAAAAGCCCCUUGGUAGUCAAAAAAGUUCGAAAAUCUCCUCCAGGGACGUAUUCCAUUGCUAGAUAUACUUUUUCCUUAUCUUGAAAGGCAUAAUACAGUUUUACAAGCCAUUCGGAAUUAGUAUUCGUUAGUAUAUCUCUUUCAUUCAAUAUGUGUUUCACCUGAGCCGUUGUUAGUUUUCUUUUAAGAUCUUUAAUAGUGUCUUCUUACUUCAUUAAGUUGCUGUAAUGUUGAUUUUUUCAUCAUUUUCAUUGCUAACAAUUCGUGUGUGUUGCGCUUUUUAGCAAGCCACACAGAACCAUAUCCUCCUUGUCCAAGCUUUACUAAUAAAUCGAAAUGGCUACAUUGAAUCUUGGUUCUUUUUUUUCUCAAAAAUGCUCUUUCCCUUCCACAAUGCUCUUUCCAUAGUCGCUUCUGUUUAGAUUGUUUUAAUGACGAUGUACACGCUGUAAAUUCUUCCAAUCUUUCCUUCCUUAGUUUAUGGUACUCAAUUGUGCUAAUAUAGUAAUUGAGGAAGAAAACUUGACAGGCCAUCCGCUUUCUUCUUGUCUCGGGUCGACUAAGUAUUUCAACUUCACUGGGCUUUAGUAAUUGGUAGUAAGUUAAACCUUUAGGAUCAUUUCUUUUCGUCCAGCAAUUUUGUCUUUCUUCGUUGAGCACCAUGCGUUCAUUUUUCGAAGACACACUUGCUGACGCAUUUUCCCUGUCUCGUAAAUAGCCGCUUGAUAGU